rnacentral:rRNA from 1 species
UACGUAGGGUGCGAGCGUUGUCCGGAAUUAUUGGGCGUAAAGAGCUCGUAGGCGGUUUGUCGCGUCUGCUGUGAAAAUCCAGGGCUUAACCCUGGACCUGCAGUGGGUACGGGCAGACUGGAGUGCGGUAGGGGAGAUCGGAAUUCCUGGUGUAGCGGUGAAAUGCGCAGAUAUCAGGAGGAACACCGGUGGCGAAGGCGGAUCUCUGGGCCGUAACUGACGCUGAGGAGCGAAAGCAUGGGGAGCGAACAGG